GCCUCCGUAGCUCAGGGGAUAGAGCGUUGGUUUCCGGUACCAAAGGUCGCAGGUGCGAUUCCUGUCGGGGGCA
rnacentral:tRNA from 1 species